rnacentral:rRNA from 1 species
GUUGGGUUAAGUCCCGCAACGAGCGCAACCCUUUUCCUUACUUGCCAGCAUUUCGGAUGGGAACUUUAAGGAUACUGCCAGUGACAAACUGGAGGAAGGCGGGGACGACGUCAAGUCAUCAUGGCCCUUACGGCCAGGGCUACACACGUGCUACAAUGGUCGGUACAAAGGGUUGCUACACAGCGAUGUGAUGCUAAUCUCAAAAAGCCGAUCGUAGUCCGGAUUGGAGUCUGCAACUCGACUCCAUGAAGUCGGAAUCGCUAGUAAUCGUGAAUCAGAAUGUCACGGUGAAUACGUUCCCGGGCCUUGUACACACCGCCCGUCACACCAUGGGAGUGGGCUGCAAAAGAAGUAGGUAGCUUAACCUUCGGGAGGGCGCUUACCACUUUGUGAUUCAUGACUGGGGUGAAGUCGUAACAAGGUAGCCGUAGGGGAACCUGCGGCUGGAUCACCUCCUUACCUUAAAGAA